UACAGAGGUCUCAAGCGUUGUUCGGAUUCAUUGGGCGUAAAGGGUGUGUAGGUGGCGCCGUAAGUCGGGUGUGAAAUUUCGGAGCUUAACUCCGAAACUGCAUUCGAUACUGCGGUGCUUGAGGACUGGAGAGGAGACUGGAAUUCAUGGUGUAGCAGUGAAAUGCGUAGAGAUCAUGAGGAAGACCGUGGCGAAGGCGGGUCUCUGGACAGUUCCUGACAGCUGAGACACGAAGGCCAGGGGAGCAAACGGG
rnacentral:rRNA from 1 species